AACCCAUGGAGAGGGCAUCUUCUCAAUAAAUCUUUGUAUCUCUCCUAUGCAUCAUAAAGUGUUUUUAAAUCCAUCGGUACAAAAGAAGAGAUAUUAUUCCUUAGCUU
rfam:Gossypium arboreum cultivar AKA8401 contig_110617_1, whole genome shotgun sequence.